UACGGAGGGGGCUAGCGUUGUUCGGAAUUACUGGGUGUAAAGCGCACGUAGGCGGAUUUUUAAGUCAGGGGUGAAAUCCCGGGGCUCAACCUCGGAACUGCCUUUGAUACUGGAGAUCUUGAGUCCGGAAGAGGUAAGUGGAACUGCGAGUGUAGAGGUGAAAAUUCGUAGAUAUUCGCAAGAACACCAAUGGCGAAGGCAGCUCGCUGGGACGUUACUGACGCUGAGACGCGAAAGCGUGGGGAGCAAACAGG
rnacentral:rRNA from 1 species